rnacentral:rRNA from 1 species
AUUGAACGCUGGCGGCAUGCCUUACACAUGCAAGUCGAACGGCAGCACGGGAGCAAUCCUGGUGGCGAGUGGCGAACGGGUGAGUAAUAUAUCGGAACGUGCCCAGUCGUGGGGGAUAACGUAGAGAAAUUUACGCUAAUACCGCAUACGAUCUAAGGAUGAAAGCGGGGGACUCGCAAGGGCCUCGCGCGAUUGGAGCGGCUGAUAUCAGAUUAGGNGUUGGUGAGGUAAAAGCUCACCAAGCCGACGAUCUGUAGCUGGUUUGAGAGAACGACCAGCCACACUGGGACUGAGACACGGCCCAGACUCCUACGGGAGGCAGCAGUGGGGAAUUUUGGACAAUGGGCGAAAGCCUGAUCCAGCAAUGCCGCGUGCAGGAAGAAGGCCUGG